UGGGGAAUAUUGGACAAUGGGCGCAAGCCUGAUCCAGCAAUGCCGCGUGAGUGAUGAAGGCCUUAGGGUUGUAAAGCUCUUUCGCACGCGACGAUGAUGACGGUAGCGUGAGAAGAAGCCCCGGCUAACUUCGUGCCAGCAGCCGCGGUAAUACGAAGGGGGCUAGCGUUGUUCGGAAUUACUGGGCGUAAAGGGCGCGUAGGCGGCCUGUUUAGUCAGAAGUGAAAGCCCCGGGCUCAACCUGGGAAUAGCUUUUGAUACUGGCAGGCUUGAGUUCCGGAGAGGAUGGUGGAACUCCCAGUGUAGAGGUGAAAUUCGUAGAUAUUGGGAAGAACACCGGUGGCGAAGGCGGCCAUCUGGACGGACACUGACGCUGAGGCGCGAAAGCGUGGGGAGCAAACA
rnacentral:rRNA from 1 species